UAGGGAAUCUUCCGCAAUGGCCGCAAGUCUGACGGAGCAACGCCGCGUGAGUGAAGAAGGAUUUCGGUUCGUAAAACUCUGUUGUUAGAGAAGAACAGCGCAUAGAGUAACUGUUAUGCGUGUGACGGUAUCUAACCAGAAAGCCACGGCUAACUACGGGCCAGCAGCCGCGGUAAUACGUAGGUGGCAAGCGUUGUCCGGAUUUAUUGGGCGUAAAGCGAGCGCAGGCGGUCAAUUAAGUCUGAUGUGAAAGCCCCCGGCUCAACCGGCGAGGGUCAUUGGAAACUGGUUGACUUGAGUGCAGAAGAGGAGAGUGGAAUUCCAUGUGUAGCGGUGAAAUGCGUAGAUAUAUGGAGGAACACCAGUUGCGAAGGCGACUCUCUGGUCUGUAACUGACGCUGAGGCUCGAAAGCGUGGGUAGCAAACAGG
rnacentral:rRNA from 1 species